GUAUCAAAGUUGAAGGUCAUCGACAGAGAAAUCAUGGUUGCUCGAGACAAAAAUAAAGACAGAUCUUCAGAGGAAAUGGAGAGAAAAUUUUCUCACAUUCUGGAACAAUUGCAGAAGUUGAUAGAAAGUAGUGAAUAUGAAUGAUAGAAUUGUAUAGACAGAUAAGGAAUUAAUGACGAUCAGGCAAGCCCUAGGAAAUGCAAAACAAAAGGACAAAGAAAUGGAUCAGAAUAGAGCAAAAUCAUUUGUGCGUGGAGACAGAGCAAUACAACUGGGGAUCUCCAAAAUUCUAAUGGUAAAUUUCUUACCUGAUGUUCUAAACUUGAUUUUCUAAAUUUCCGGGGUCGGAUUUGAGAGUAUGGUUGUAUAAAGGUGGAUUGGUUUUUUGCCAUGGAUGAAGUUCCAUAUGAUCAGAGGGUGAGAGUAGUUUUUAUCCAUUUGGAUGUUGAAGUUAUUGCUUGGCAUAGAUCAUACUUGAAGUCUAGGAACUCAAUUGUAGAUCCUUCUUGGUCUGAGUAUGUGUUGGCUGUUAAUGAAAGAUAUGGGAGGAAUUUUAAGAUUCAAUGGAAGCUAUAAAAAAUCUACAAAAAACUGAGUAUAUUAGAACAUAUCAGGCUGAGUUUGAAAGGUUAUUGAAUGGGGUUAAUUUGUCAAACGAAAAUGCUAUCAGCUGUUUUCUGGGAGGGUUAAAAAUUGAGCUCAACAAAGUUGUUAGAAUGAAAGCACCCAAAACCUUAAUGCAAGCUUACAAGUUAGCUAAUUUGCAGGAAGAGGCUUGAUGCUCAAGAUAAGUCUUGGGGAAUUAGUAGAAACAACAGGGUUUAGACUGGUCUUCUUCCUACUCCAUCUAGGUUUCAGGAUGUACGAAAACCUAUUUUUUCUAGCACAAAUGUCAAAAAACCUUAUGAACCAAAUGCUAACAGAUUCAGUAAUGGUAAUACUGGUAGAAGGUUAUUGAUUGCUGCUCAGAUGGAUGACAAAAGGGCUAAAAGAAUAUGUUUCUUGUGUGAUGAGAAGUAUGUUCCUUGGCAUAUUUGUAAAUCCAAGAUACAAUUGUAUUUGGUUGAAGUUCUGGAAGAUGUUGAGGUAACCAUGGAGGAAGAAGUGUUAGAAGUGGAUGAGUGCAUGACAAUUUCUUUACAAGCAUUUACUGAAAGUACAGGUUAUCAAACAAUUAGAGUAAAUGGAUACCAUGAAAAAAAAAUUAUAGGUGCUUAUUGACACAUGUAGUACUCAUAAUUUCAUUGAUGAGUCAAUGGCAAGAAAGUUAGGUCGUAAAGCUUUGCCUAUAUACAUGAACAAUCAGUAAGUGUGGCUGAUGGUAGAAGGAUGUAAAUUACUGCUGUAUGUAAGAACUUAAGUGGUUACUGCAGGGUACAACUUUUUCUUCUGAUUUCCUACUACUAUCAUUGGGAAAUGUUCAUAUAGUAUUGCGUGUGCGGUGUUUAAAUACUGCAGGAAGGAUUCUGUUUGACUUCACAAAUAGUACUAUUGAGUUUGUACUUGGGAAGAAAACUUGUCUUAAGGGGAUCCAGUAGCCAAAUCAAGACCACCAAGGCCAAAUCCUUGAACAAAAAGAGUGAUGAAUCAGUUCAGGUCUUCAUGCUUACCUUAGUGACUGAUGCAGCCUCCGUUUGGCAAUGCAACAGUAUACAACUAAAUCAAGGUACUGAUAUUCAUCCUACCUUAACUGUUUUAAUGGAACUGUACAAAUGCAUCUUUGAUAUGCCUACUACAUUUCCCCCUCUUAGAGGCAUCUUUGAUCACAACAUACCACUCAAUGACUCAGCUACUCCUGUUAACAAAAGACCUUAUAGAUAUCUAGGAAUGAAGAAAGAUAUUAUUAGAAGCUAGUAUAGGAAAUGCUAGAUCAAGGUGUGAUACAACCUAAUUCUAGUCCCUAUGCAUCCCCUGUAGUCCUUGUUGGGAAGAAAGAUGGGAGUUGGAGGCUUUGUGUAGACUAUAGAGAUCUGAACAAAUUCACAGUAAAGGAUAAGUUCGUAUUCCUAUCAUUGACGAUUUGUUAGAACUAGGAGGUGAUGAAGUGUUUUCUAAGAUUGAUCUUAGAGUUGGUUACCACCAAUUGAGAAUGAAGGAAACAAAUACAUAUAAGACAACUUUAAAAACUCAUGAAGGACACUACGAAUUUCUGUUUAUGCCAUUUGGUCUUUAUGAAUGCACUUUCUUCAUUUUAGUCUUAUUUAUCUUGUAUUCAAACCACUGCUUAGGAGUUCAGCACUGGUUAUUUUUUAUGAUAUAUUGGUGUACAGCAAGGAUAUGCCAACUCAUGUGAACCAUUCACAAGCUUUGUUUGAUUUAAUGAAGCAACAUCAGUUGUUUUCCAACGGUUCUAAGUGUGCUUUAGAAGUACCUGAGGUAGAGUAACUAGGUCAUUUCAUCAGUGCAAAAGGGGUAGCUAUUAAUCCUACAAAGAUUUCUGCAAUACAGGCUUGGUUUAACAGGAUGUUAUCUGAGGUUCAUUCUGAAUUUUAAAUCCAUUGCUAAACCUCUCAAUUAAUUAUUAGAGCAGGAUAAGUUUGUGUGUAAUGAGGGUGCCACUACAACUUUUCAUGUUCUCAAAGAUGCACUGGUGACUGCAGCUGUCUUAGCAUUACUAGACUAUGAUAAACAAUUCAUAAUUGAAUGAUGCAAGUGGUUCAGGAAUUGGUGUUGUCUUAAUGCAACAAGGGAAUCCAAUUGCCUAUAUUAGUAAGUCAUUAGCACCUAGACAUCAGGCUAUGCAUGUAUAUGAUACAGAGAUGUUAGCCAUUUACUAAGUGGUGUGAUUAUCUGUUAGGAAGGCAUUUCACGGUGAGAACUGAUCAAAAUGCACUAAAACACCUCCAUGAACAAAGUAUUCACACUGAUUUUCAGAUUGCUCGUUUUUCGAAAUUGAUGGCCUUUGAUUUCACUAUUGAGUUCAAUGAAGGGACGGAAAAUAAGGCUACUGAUGAUUUGUCAAGAAAUCAAAGUGCUGAAGUUGUUGGCAAUUUCACUCCUAACUCCUAAUGAUACACUUUUGGAGAGAAGUAGCCUAACAUGGACAGCUGAUGCCGAGUUGCAAGCUGUUAUUGUUAAGUUGCAAGCAAGGCCUAUAAAUUCUAUAUACCUAGAUUGGUUCUCAGCUAAGGUGGGAAGGCAGGGUAGUAGUAGGGUCUGAUUUGCAGUUAAGAUAGACCAUUAUUCAGUUGUGGCAUUCAACACCACAAGCUGGUCAUGAAGGCAUGGAUGCAACUAUUAAGAGGCUGCAAUCCUUUUUUUACUGGAAGUCAUUAGCAGCUGACAUUAGAACUUUUAUUUAGAAAUGUGAUAUCUGUCAAAGUCAUAAGUAUGAUGCAGCAGCUUACCCUGGACUACUUCAACCAUUACCUAUUCCUAAUGGUGUUUGGAUUGAUAUCAGUUUAGAUUUCAUUGAAGGUCUCUCUAAAUCGAAAGGGAAGGAUGUCAUAUUGGUAGUGGUGGAUAGACUUUGUAAGUCUGGUCAUUUCAUUGCUAUUGCACACCCUUACACUGCUGAUUCUGUAGCUCAAUGUUUUUUGGACAAUGUUUUCAAAUUGCAUGGGAUGACAACUCCUAUAAUAAGCGACAUGGACCUCACUUUCUAGAGUUCUUUUUGGCAAUAGUUAUUUACAUUACAAGGGGUCUUACUACAUAAAUCGAGGUGAAUCAAUGUGAAAGUUGCAUAAUGGAAAAACAACAUAGAAAGUCUUUUCCUAAAGGGAUGUCUUGGAGAGCAAAUGUACGUUCGAAACUAAUUCAUGUCGACAUUCGCGGACCAAUGAAGACUCCAUCACUUGAAAGUCAAAGGUACUUUAUAAUAUUUAUUGAUGAUUUUUCAAGAAUGACUUAGGAUUAUUUUAAAAGAAAAGUCAGAACCAUUUGCUACAUUCAGAAAAUUUAAAGCCCUUGUUGAGAAGCAAAAAGUUUGCAGCAUCAAGACCAUUCGCAAUGAUAGAGGAGGUGAAUACACAAGUCAAGAAUUUAAAGAAUACUGCAAAAAUGAAGGCAUUCAGAAGCAACUUACAACAGAAGCAGUACAUACAGCGGUGUAAAUCCUCAACAGGUGCCGACAAAGACAUUGAAGGACAAGACACCAGUUGAAGCUUGGAGUGGAAUGAAAACUUUUGUAUGUCAUUUUAAAAUUUUUGAGUGUAUCUGUUAUGCUCAUAUACCUGGUGAGAAAAAAAAAAUUGUGAAUUUUUUUUAAAAAUGUAUAUUUCUUUGUUAUAAUUAUGUAACAAAAGGUUAUAGGCU